GUACAGAGGUCUCAAGCGUUGUUCGGAUUCAUUGGGCGUAAAGGGUGCGUAGGUGGCGCUGUAAGUCGGGUGUGAAAUUUCGGAGCUUAACUCCGAAACUGCAUUCGAUACUGCGGUGCUUGAGGACUGGAGAGGAGACUGGAAUUCAUGGUGUAGCAGUGAAAUGCGUAGAGAUCAUGAGGAAGACCAGUGGCGAAGGCGGGUCUCUGGACAGUUCCUGACACUGAGGCACGAAGGCCAGGGGAGCAAACGGG
rnacentral:rRNA from 1 species